rnacentral:sRNA from 1 species
AAUAUAUGAAAGAAAGCUUGAAAAAUUGAAAUAACAAAAAUAAUAAAUAUAGAGAAAACAAAACAGGAUACAGAAAUAGUAACAUUCACAAAACCCACAGAGCACAUUUCAUGAUAUAUAUUCACUAGUUUCAAAAAGUUUGUUCAUUUGUCAUGAGAUGCAUAAAUAACAUAACACCUGUGACAAGUGAAACUAAGCUAUUUCUUGAAGGAUAUACUGCCAACUCUAAAAGAUAAUUCAGUACUUAGCAUUAAUACUUAUAAACUUCUGUCAAAAUUUGGACGAUAUUACCAAAGGUACAAAAACAGGCAUUUAAGUAGACAAUUCAUAAACCUGUAUGAAUAGUCUACUCAAACAUUGUUGAUAGACAAUUGAUACACUUUGGAUAUUACAUAAAGUUAACCAAAUGAAAGAAAAUGUGCAGAAAAGAGAAGAAGCUAAUGAACAAAAGACAUGAAUAGUUUAUACAGUCAGAAGGCAUACAAUCAGUUCCUUUGUUCUAGGGUGCUUCUUAGUAGUGAAAAGAACGCCUAAACAAUAAAGUUAUUACUCAGUGUACGAGAAAAACUUCAAACCACAGAACAGUCAUUUAACCAAACUAUUGUACCAUGAGUAAUAACUUUAUUACUCAUACAGGCAAAUAGCAAAACAUACCAUUGUGAUUACACAGGAUGAUUGAUGGUCUAAUCCAAUAAGGGCAUCUAAAUGCUUAUUGUCUUUGACAUUGUACCAAAGCAAUACACGCCCAUUGUUUUACUAUCACCCUAAGGAAUAAUACAUGAUCAAUCAAUCACCAAGUUGUAUGGAAACACAAAACUGCCAUCCACAUUUUGAUGAGAAGAUGAAUGUUGAAUAUGUAUAGACUGCAGAGGAAGAGGUAACAACUGCUAACACAGAUAUAUGCAGACAGAAUACAUAUAACAUGUAUAAAGGCUUUCCAAGACAAUGUUCUGAGAAGAUCUAAUAAGUCAUCAGUGCAGCAUGCUAAGGAGAAAUAAAUAUAAAUUGAACAAUCUUCAUGAUGAAUGCUGGAAAAUUUGUUAUCAACCACACAACGCAACAGAUGAAUGCGCUAAUCAUGAAUAUUCUGCAAUAAUCAGCUAGAGACUGAACUAUGAAGAAAUAAAAGUUCAAUCAAGCUUAAGAUAACAACCAUAUAAAAUGCACCUGAUAUCAUCUUUUACUCUGUGAGACCAUGUGGUGAGCCUUGACUUGCACUGCCUUAACAGCAUUCUUAGAGGAAUCCACGAUGCCUUUAGUAAAAGAGCCAAAAACGCCAGAUUGUGCUGUUGUUGGGGUUGUGCUGCCUUCAGCACUCUCAUCUUGCUAAGGAGCUUUUGGAGACAAGCGCAACCCAAGGCCACUCGUGAGGCGAGAAAAUGUAUUCUUCCCCGUUGGUGAUUCUUGACCUGAAGAAGGCUGUGGUAUUUUCAGGUUUUUUGCCCAGGAGGAUAAGCCAGAUGUAGAAAAUAUGGAGGAUUGUGCCUCGCGCCCUGCAGCAUCUUGUAUUGGAACAGCAUUUGAAGUAGCCUGAGAAACAGGGUCAGGAGUUCUGACAGGAGGUGCGGUUGAAUCCUGGCUGUCCACCGGAGUAGCAGGUGGUGGAUGUGAAUCAGAGGGCUUUACUUGCUGUUCUACCAUGAUCGGGUAACAGAUUUAAUAAACCUCUUUGAAGCACUAGUAAAAUUUGCAAAAUCAUUAUAUACAGAUAUAAAACAUGCAGUUUGACCAGC